rnacentral:lncRNA from 1 species
GUCUUUUUUUGCUUUUUUCGAAAAUCUGUAACUAAAUCAGACUAAGAUGAAAUCUGAAAUAAAAAUAAUAGAUUUAAACAUUUUGUAUCGUUAACGUGAACGCUGCCAUCACACAUCGAGCUGAUACAUUCAGUUCAAAAGUUAAACGUGCAUGAAAUUUGAUUCUAAAUUCCAUGUCUUUUGUUCAUGAGUCCAUCAACGCACCAGUUUGCUGUAAUGCUCAAACUUGUCGAAUAACUGUCUCACUCCUGCUACAGCGUUAGAGCUCGGAGCUUGAGCGACUUGGCAAGGAGCAUCUAAAUCUGUUUAGUAAGAGCAUGUGUGCUGUUCGUAAGGGUUUGCUGCCACUUUCGCACCCUGAGCCAGCAACAUUAGGGGGCAGGUUUGAGGGGCAGGAAAUCCGUGUGCCGACAAGCGUGCUGCCACGAGUGUGAAUUUUCUCCACUUCUCAGAUAAACACGGCUGCCCAACGACUUGUGCUCUCUGUCUUCCUCUUUCGUUCUCUCUCUCUCUGCCAACUUGCAGUCCCUAUGUCUCGGGGAAAUGCUUUGCGAGAACGCGGAGUCGUUCGAGCCGGGUGCCCCUUUAACCUGCUCUUCAGAGAAUCCGAUCGCCUUCGCUGGAUUGAACGGGGUUGCGACUGGUCAUUGCCGUGUACCUGCCAGUCAAGUUCAGUUAAAGAGGAUUUAAACAGCAUUCUCGAAACCUGGGGCCUAAUUCCCACCUCCUUGUAGGACGCUAUACAUGGGAGGGCCUUUCAGAGAGAGACCAGCGAUCCCUCUGCUGCCCGCUGCCACUGAGGGAUACAGCACAGAGGUUCCAGUUCUGGAGAGGAAGAGAGACAAGUGAGUCCUCUGCUGCCCAUUGUCCCUGCAGCAGGACAUGAAUGAGCAAAUCUUUGCCAAACUAAGUGUCAAACCACAGGCCUAACAAUCCCACUUAGAAGGAGGACUGAGAGGCAAAUACACCUGCAAGAUAAAUCCUUCAUCUAUCACCCUUCCCGCUCCAGGAUGAACAGCAUCAAGUACGUAUCACAAACGUCCUGUGGUCCCCUGUUAGGACCACACUCCUCAAUAAUGUUAAACAGCAAUAAUAGGAGUUUUAAGCAACAUGUAUGAUUUUUCAUAGUUCUGAAAAAAAAGACAAUUGAAGAACUUUACAUUAAAAAUCUUUGUGUAUUUUCAGGUGCUUGUUUCACCAAGCAAAAGCAACACCAAGCAACAUCUGAGCACUACUCUAAAUUGCCAAAGGGUUUACUCAACCGUACAUUACUUUACCAUUUCAUACAACGUUAAUGGU